ensembl:snoRNA
AAGACUAUACUUUCAGGGAUCAUUUCUAUAGUUCGUUACUAGAGAAGUUUCUCUGACUGUGUAGAGCACCGGAAACCACGAGGAGGAGGCAUAGCGUUCUCUCCUGAGCGUGAAGCCGGCUCUUGGUGUUGCUUUUCUGCAAGUGCCAUUUGCCAUUGAUGAUCGUUCUUUCUUCUUUUGGGGAGUUGGAGGGAGAGGACGCAGUCUGAGUGGCU